UGGGGAAUAUUGCGCAAUGGGGGGAACCCUGACGCAGCCAUGCCGCGUGAAUGAAGAAGGCCUUCGGGUUGUAAAGUUCUUUCGGUAUUGAGGAAGGUUGAUGUGUUAAUAGCACAUCAAAUUGACGUUAAAUACAGAAGAAGCACCGGNUAACUCCGUGCCAGCAGCCGCGGUAAUACGGAGGGUGCGAGCGUUAAUCGGAAUAACUGGGCGUAAAGGGCACGCAGGCGGUUAUUUAAGUGAGGUGUGAAAGCCCCGGGCUUAACCUGGGAAUUGCAUUUCAGACUGGGUAACUAGAGUACUUUAGGGAGGGGUAGAAUUCCACGUGUAGCGGUGAAAUGCGUAGAGAUGUGGAGGAAUACCGAAGGCGAAGGCAGCCCCUUGGGAAUGUACUGACGCUCAUGUGCGAAAGCGUGGGGAGCAAACAGGAUUAGAUACCCUGGUAGUCCACGCUGUAAACGCUGUCGAUUUGGGGGUUGGGGUUUAACUCUGGCGCCCGUAGCUAACGUGAUAAAUCGACCGCCUGGGGAGUACGGCCGCAAGGUUA
rnacentral:rRNA from 1 species